AUGAAAUAUGAAAUUUUAUUAAAAGAAAAAGGGGUGAAAAGAACAAAGUUUUGUCCAUCUUUGUUCAUCAUAGCUGAAAGUUAGAGAAGAGAAAGGGGAGGAGAAAGCUCUUGAGUAUUCGGUCAUUAGGAGGAGGAAAAUUGAAGGAAAUCCCCAACCAUAGUGGGCUUGGAGCUGUGAGGGAAUUUGGAGUGGCCACCCGUUCUGAAAGUUUGAUUUUCUUCUGGCGGUUCGUGUGUGGAUCUCGUCAACAUAUCGUCGCAAACAGGUGAGUCUUGAUGUGGGUGACUUGGAGCCGGAGGGAUUCAGUGGCCAUUGUGAACACUUUUGGGUUUGAAAAAGAGACUGGUUUUCUUAAGUUAUUUUUAAUUACUAUUUAAGUUUUGGGUUGUAAUAAGGCCAUUUUAACUUUAUUUUCUUCUUUGAUUUUCUGAGAUUAUAUUAUUUUAAACAA